rnacentral:rRNA from 1 species
UACGGGGGGGGCAAGCGUUGUUCGGAAUUACUGGGCGUAAAGGGCGCGUAGGCGGCUCAAUCAGUCGGGCGUGAAAGCUCUGGGCUUAACCCAGAGAAGUCGUUCGAUACUGUUGGGCUAGAGUGUGGAAGAGGCUACUGGAAUUCCGUGUGUAGCGGUGAAAUGCGUAGAUAUACGGAGGAACACCUGCGGCGAAGGCGGGAUCCUGGGCCAGUACUGACGCUGAGGAGCGAAAGCGUGGGGAGCGAACAGG